rnacentral:rRNA from 1 species
AUUGAACGCUGGCGGCAGGCCUAACACAUGCAAGUCGAACGAGUGGCGGAAGGGUGAGCAAUGUCUGGGAAACUGCCUGAUGGAGGGGGACAAGUACUGGAAACGGUAGCUAAUACCGCACACCAUAGGCUGUGCCCAGAUGGGAUUAGCUAGUGGGUGGGGUAAAGGCUCACCAAGGCGACGAUCCCUUGCUGGUCUGAGAGGAUGACCAGUCACACUGGAACUGAGACACGGUCCAGACUCCUACGGGAGGCAGCAGUGGGGAAGAUUGCACAAUGGGCGAAAGCCUGAUGCAGCCAUGCCGCGUGUAUGAAGAAGGUCUUCGGGUUGUAAAGUACUUUCAGCGGGGAGGCGUUACCCGCAGAAGAAGCACCGGCUAACUCCGUGCCAGCAGCCGCGGUAAUUC